GUUAUCACGGGAGACACACGGCGGGUGCUAACGUCCGUCGUGAAGAGGGAAACAACCCAGACCGCCAGCUAAGGUCCCAAAGUCAUGGUUAAGUGGGAAACGAUGUGGGAAGGCCCAGACAGCCAGGAUGUUGGCUUAGAAGCAGCCAUCAUUUAAAGAAAGCGUAAUAGCUCACUGGUCGAGUCGGCCUGCGCGGAAGAUGUAACGGGGCUAAACCAUGCACCGAAGCUGCGGCAGCGAACGUAUCACCCAAGACAACUUUACGGAGUUGACGAUUGACGGAGCGAAGCGACGUCAAAGCGUUCAUUAAAGUCGAGUUGGCUUAGGGAUACGUUCGUUGGGUAGGGGAGCGUUCUGUAAGCCUGCGAAGGUGGCCUGUGAGGGUUGCUGGAGGUAUCAGAAGUGCGAAUGCUGACAUAAGUAACGAUAAAGCGGGUGAAAAGCCCGCUCGCCGGAAGACCAAGGGUUCCUGUCCAACGUUAAUCGGGGCAGGGUGAGUCGACCCCUAAGGCGAGGCCGAAAGGCGUAGUCGAUGGGAAACGGGUUAAUAUUCCCGUACUUGGUGUUACUGCGAAGGGGGGACGG
rnacentral:rRNA from 1 species